rnacentral:rRNA from 1 species
UAAUACGUAGGUGGCGAGUGUUGUUCGGAAUCACUGGGCAUAAAGGGUGCGUAGGCGGGAAAUCAAGCAGGAUGUGAAAUCCUAUGGCCCAACCAUAGAAUUGCAUUCUGAACUGGUUUUCUUGAGUGCAGCAGGGGAGUGCGGAAUUCCCGGUGUAGGGGUGAAAUCUAUAGAUAUCGGGAAGAACACCGGUCGCGAAGGCGGCACUCUGGGCUGUAACUGACGCUGAGGCACGAAAGCGUGGGUAUCGAACCGGAUUAGAUACCCGGGUAGUCCACGCUGUAAACGUUGUACACUUGGUGGUUGUCUCACAAGGGAUGGCUGCCGAAGCGAAUGUGAUAAGUGUACCGCCUGGGGAGUAUGGUCGCAAGGCUGAAACUUAAAUGAAUUGACGG